UUUAAAUGUAGCAUUUACUCUUAUUAUUGAUCCAAAUAUUAGGCAAAUAUAAACUUACAUAAUAUAAACAUGUGCAUAAAUAUUUUGUGUGCAUAUACUGUACUUUUGUUUAUAUGCAGACCUUUACUCACAUGUAAUUUUGUGUUUUAUAUGUGAAUUGCCAUAUUUAUGUAUGUGUUUAUGUAUGUACAAAUUCAUGUGCACAUGUCACGUGAAAGACACCGGCCGUUUUAUUUAAACAAAAUCUUUUUAAUAAUUCACAGGCUGUUUAGUAUAAUGUGUGCCCAUACAUAAAUGUGGCCAGCCAAAGUCAGACAGAUUGUCCCCAAAAGACCAAGGAUAGCCUCAGGCAAAAAAAAAAAAAAAACUAACAGUAAUGCCUUCUUUUUUUAAUUUAAUUUAUAUAGCAAAAUACCAACAAAAUAGACUGUCUUUCCAUGCGGUAGUUAGAUUUCCAAAUAUUCUGUUGAUUAUAAAUUCACUAAAGCUGUUUAUCAAAGUAAUUUUAGAUGGUUGUGAACCAGCAAAUGAGAAAAAAAGCAACAACAAAAAUAAAAAAAUAAAACUACCAUCUACAGUAUCAUCAUAUCACAUAUAAUAUUAAUGAAACCAAUUUCUGGUAUUGAAAAUGCAGUGUACUUUGUUAUUUUCUGAAAAAUCCCAAGAUGCAUUUUUUUCUUUCUAAUUUUUAUAGGGAGAACAAGACCAUAUAUAAGAUUUGUACAUACGUAUCAUUAUGCAGUAUUUAUUUUAAAGAAAAAAAGGUUGAUGUAUUUUUUUUUUUAUUUCACAUAAUGUCUGCAGUUCCAUUCAUGGUGGAAGCCAUGGAUAUGGCACUGUCCCAGUGUCAACUGCGGUCUUGUAAAUAGUAUGUUUUAAGAGCAAAAAAAAUAAUAAAAACCAGUUGGAUGAAAUGGCAGACUAGUCCUGCAGAGCACCAACUAAUGUAAAGCAUAUUAAUUACGGUGGUGGUAUUUAACACUUUAAAUAAAACAUUUUCUUUAUA